rnacentral:lncRNA from 1 species
CGGGGCCCUUCGGCAAAGCCUCCACGUCACUUGGCCGCCGUCAGUCUCACGGCUUGUUUGCCGAUGGCUGACUCCACGUGGCCAUCGGCAAACAUGGCGGAGCUGGCCACAGGUUCUGAGUCCACGUCACCUUUUUUCCGAUGGCCCUGGCCAUCGGCAAAGAUAUGGUCAGUUUGCCGAUGGUCACGGCCAUCGGCAAACCUGAAAAUUUUUUUUUCCUUUUUUUCUCUGUUUUCUUCCAUUUCCAGCACAUAUAAUCACAAGCAUACAAUAAUCACCAGCACAUAUUCAUCACAUAUAUUCACAAUAAUACGCCAUUUCACAAUAAUAUAGCAUCAAAUCCAUAUUCAUGCAUACAAAUCCAUAUCACAAGUCCCAAGUCUUGCAUACAACUCCAAAUGCAUCCAUACAAGGCCAACAUGGGCCAAACAUGUCCGACGUGGCACAACAAGUUCCAAAGUCAGGAAUAGAAGGUACCUAGCUCGUGGCGCCGUCCCCUUGGGUCCCCGAGCCCCCCGCAGCAUCCUCCCACGGAGACCAACUCCCCUGCUGCUGCGGCUGCUGCCACGAGUACUGCCAGUUGCCGAGCUGCUGCAGCUGAGGGAACUGAGACGGCCUGGGC